rnacentral:rRNA from 1 species
AUUGAACGCUGGCGGCAGGCCUAACACAUGCAAGUCGAACGAGUGGCGGACGGGUGAGUAAUGUCUGGGAAACUGCCUGAUGGAGGGGGAUAACUACUGGAAACGGUAGCUAAUACCGCAUACCAUCGGAUGUGCCCAGAUGGGAUUAGCUAGUAGGUGGGGUAACGGCUCACCUAGGCGACGAUCCCUAGCUGGUCUGAGAGGAUGACCAGCCAAACUGGAACUGAGACACGGGCCAGACUCCCAAGGGAGGCAGCAGUGGGGAAUAUUGCACAAUGGGCGGAAGCCUGAUGCAGCCAUGCCGCGUGUGUGAAGAAGGCCCUUGGGGUGUAAAGUAAUUUUAGCGGGGAGGCGUUACCCGCAGAAGAAGCACCGGCUAACUCCGUGCCAGCAGCCGCGGUAAUAC